UACGUAGGGUGCGAGCGUUUAAUCGGAAUUACUGGGCGUAAAGCGUGCGCAGGCGGUUUUGUAAGCCAGAUGUGAAAUCCCCGGGCUUAACCUGGGAAUGGCAUUUGGGACUGCAAGGCUCGAGUGCGGCAGAGGAGACUGGAAUUCCUGGUGUAGCAGUGAAAUGCGUAGAUAUGCGGAGGAACACCAGUGGCGAAGGCGAGUCCCUGGACAACUCCUGACACUGAGGCACGAAAGCUAGGGGAGCAAACAGG
rnacentral:rRNA from 1 species